AAAGUCGUAACAAGGUUUCCGUAGGUGAACCUGCGGAAGGAUCAUUACUGGUUUAGCGGACUGAGCGUUUAGCGAGGUUCUGCGAUCAAUUUAUAUUUAAAACCCACUCUUGAAUGUAUAAAAUUUUAUGUAUUAACGAUAAAAUAAAAGAUCACUUUCAACAACGGAUCUCUUGGCUCUC
rnacentral:misc_RNA from 1 species